AGUGAACGCUGGCGGUAGGCCUAACACAUGCAAGUCGAACGGCAGCACAGUAAGAGCUUGCUCUUACGGGUGGCGAGUGGCGGACGGGUGAGGAAUACAUCGGCAUCUACUUUUUCGUGGGGGAUAACGUAGGGAAACUUACGAUAAUACCGCAUACGACCUACGGGUGAAAGCAGGGGAUCUUCGGACCUUGCGCGAUUGAAUGAGCCGAUGUCGGAUUAGCUAGUUGGCGGGGUAAAGGCCCACCAAGGCGACGAUCCGUAGCUGGUCUGAGAGGAUGAUCAGCCACACUGGAACUGAGACACGGUCCAGACUCCUACGGGAGGCAGCAGUGGGGAAUAUUGGACAAUGGGCGCAAGCCUGAUCCAGCCAUACCGCGUGGGUGAAGAAGGCCUUCGGGUUGUAAAGCCCUUUUGUUAGGAAAGAAAAGCAGCAGGUUAAUACCCCGCUGUUCUGACGGUACCCAAAGAAUAAGCACCGGCUAACUUCGUG
rnacentral:rRNA from 1 species